rnacentral:snRNA from 1 species
AAAGGAUGCAAGCCUCUCCAU